rnacentral:misc_RNA from 1 species
UUGACAAUUUUUGUUUUUGACACUGAUACCAUGACAGCAAGAGUUUUGGUCCUUCGGCAGGCGCCGUCAGGCUAUGGUCCCCCCUGGGACCGCCUGCCGAAGCAACAACGAGGUAGAUUGAACAGUGGGUUUGGAGUUUUGCAACUCUGUAAUGAUCCCUCCGCUGGUUCACCAACGGAGA